AGAGUUUGAUCAUGGCUCAGGGUGAACGCUGGCGGCGUGCUUGACACAUGCAAGUCGAACGGUAUGUGGCAACACAUAGAGUGGCGAACGGGUGAGUAACACGUGGGAACGUACCCUACGCAGGGGGAUAACUGACCGAAAGGACAGCUAAUACCGCAUAAGACCGAAAGGUGAAAGGUGCAAAUGCAUCGGCGAAGGAGCGGCCCGCGGACCAUCAGCUAGUUGGUGGGGUAAGAGCCUACCAAGGCGACGACGGUUAGCCGGCGUGAGAGCGUGGCCGGCCACAAGGACACUGAGAUACGGGUCCUACUCCUACGGGAGGCAGCAGUGCGGAAUUUUAGAUAAUGGAGGCAACUCUGAUCUAGCGACGCCGCGUGCAGGAAGAAGGUCUUCGGAUUGUAAACUGCUGUGGUAAGGGAAAAAUGUCAUGUAGUGGACUACAUGAAGGGAUGGUACUUUACUAGAAAGCCCCGGCUAACUACGUGCCAGCAGCCGCGGUAAUACGUAGGGGGCGAGCGUUACCCGGAAUCACUGGGCGUAAAGGGAGCGUAGGUGGCCUGACAUGUCAACUGUGAAAACCCGGAGCUCAACUCCGGACUUGCAGUUGAAACUGCCAGGCUUGAGGACGGUAGAGGAAGACGGAACUGCCAGUGUAGGGGUAAAAUCCUUAGAUAUUGGCAGGAACGCCGGUGACGAAGGUGGUUUUCUGGGCCGGUUCUGACACUGAUGCUCGAAAGCCAGGGGAGCGAACGGGAUUAGAUACCCGGGUAGUCCCAGCCGUAAACGAUGAAUGCUAGGUGUGGGUGUCGCAGGCAUCCGUGCCGCAGCUAACGCGAUAAGCAUUCCGCCUGGGGAGUACGGUCGCAAGAUUGAAACUCAAAGGAAUUGACGGGGGCCCGCACAAGCGGUGGAGCACGUGGUUUAAUUCGAUGCAAACCGAAGAACCUUACCUGGGUUUGACAUGUACGUGUACUGAGGUGAAAGCUGAGGGCCCAUCUAUGGGAGCGUACACAGGUGCUGCAUGGCUGUCGUCAGCUCGUGUCGCGAGAUGUUGGGUUAAGUCCCGCAACGAGCGCAACCCCUGCAUUCAGUUGCCAUCGGUGAGCCGGGCACUCUGGAUGGACUGCCGGCGACAAGCCGGAGGAAGGUGGGGAUGACGUCAAGUAUCAUGGCCCUUAUGUCCAGGGCGACACACGUGCUACAAUGGCCGGCACAGCGGGAAGCGAAGGGGCGACUCUGAGCGGAUCCUUAAAGCCGGUCCCAGUUCGGAUUGCAGUCUGCAACUCGACUGCAUGAAGUUGGAAUCGCUAGUAAUCGUGGAUCAGCCAAGCCGCGGUGAAUACGUUCCCGGGCCUUGUACACACCCCCGUC
rnacentral:rRNA from 1 species